rnacentral:rRNA from 1 species
AUACGGAGGAUCCAAGCGUUAUCCGGAUUUAUUGGGUUUAAAGGGAGCGUAGGCGGAUUAUUAAGUCAGUUGUGAAAGUUUGCGGCUCAACCGUAAAAUUGCAGUUGAUACUGGUAGUCUUGAGUGCAGCAGAGGUAGGCGGAAUUCGUGGUGUAGCGGUGAAAUGCUUAGAUAUCACGAAGAACUCCGAUUGCGAAGGCAGCUUACUGGACUGUAACUGACGCUGAUGCUCGAAAGUGUGGGUAUCAAACAGGAUUAGAUACCCUGGUAGUCCACACAGUAAACGAUGAAUACUCGCUGUUUGCGAUAUACAGCAAGCGGCCAAGCGAAAGCAUUAAGUAUUCCACCUGGGGAGUACGCCGGCAACGGUGAAACUCAAAGGAAUUGACGGGG